UUCAAAUUUUUUUUUCAUUUUGGAAAUUCUUUUAAUUUUUUCCUGCAAUUUUCAAGACAACUAAUCCGCGUUUGGUUGAAGCAACUUUUUCGAAAGCUCUUCCUUCGCUUUUAAUAUGUUUCGCGAUUAAGGAUGUUAAAAAAAUGAUUUGAUAAAGAAUUUGUUACCUCCAUGGGCUUGCAAUGUAUUGCAUCAUAAAGAUUCGAUUUGUUUUGAAAUUUAUAGUGAAAUUUUAUGAGGAACAUUUUCUUCAUUGGUCCUAAGCUUCAAAUAUGAAAGAUUUCGGAAGAUUUCAACUAAAUAUCUAAAAGCUAUUGGAUUUCGUUUGUUUGGAGACCCUGAGUGAAAUUUUGUAACGAUCAUUUUCUCCGUUGGCAUCAAGUUGCAAAAGUGACGAAUUGGGGAAGAUUUUUGCCAAUUUUAAGACAUUUUAAUGGAAAUAAAAAUAUGAAUUAUGAAUAUAAUUUUUUUGCGAAUCGAUUUCUCCCUUUCUUUGAGAUUUGAAGUUCCAAUGAUUUUUGUUUGUUUGGAGACCCCCAGUAAAAUGUAACUUAGAAUAUUUUCUUCAUUGA